AAUGAACGCUGGCGGCGCGCCUAAUACAUGCAAGUCGAGCGAGAAGACGUAGCAAUACGUUUGUAAAGCGGCGAACGGGUGAGGAAUACAUGGGUAACCUACCCUCGAGUGGGGAAGUAACUAGCCGAAAGGUUAGCUAAUACCGCGUACGCUUCUUGGACUUCGGUUCAGGGAGGAAAGCGAUGCCGAGGGUAUCGCGCUCUUGGAUGGGCUCAUGUCCUAUCAGCUUGNGGUGAGGUAACGGCUCACCAAGGCUUCGACGGGUAGCUGGUCUGAGAGGACGAUCAGCCACACUGGCAC
rnacentral:rRNA from 1 species